rnacentral:misc_RNA from 1 species
AAAAAAAAAAAAAAAAAAACCCAUCGAGACAAGAACCCAUAAAGCAAUGACAGACAGAAGCAUCUCAAAGGGAAACAGAUUGGCCCAGCAGCAAAAAUUGAGUGCAUUAAGAUUUUUUUUUUCCAUAAGUUACAAAGGUUUGCCACCUAAAAUCUAAAUGCUGUUCUUUUCUCUUCUUGCUCGCUCAGGUGCUUGGUUGUUCACAACUGUAUU